rnacentral:rRNA from 1 species
CCUACGGGAGGUAGCAGUCGAGAAUCAUUCACAAUGGGGGAAACCCUGAUGGUGCGACGCCGCGUGGGGGAAUGAAGGUCUUCGGAUUGUAAACCCCUGUCAUGUGGGAGCAAAUUAAAAAGAUCGUACCACAAUAGGAAGAGACGGCUAACUCUGUGCCAGCAGCCGCGGUAAUACAGAGGGCUCAAGCGUUGUUCGGAAUCACUGGGCGUAAAGCGUGCGUAGGCUGUUUCGUACGUCGGGUGUGAAAGGCGCGGGCUCAACCCGCGGACGGCACAUGAUACUGGGAGACGAGAGUAAGGGAGGGGGAACCGGAAUUCUCGGUGUAGCAGUGAAAUGCGUAGAUAUCGAGAGGAACACUCGUGGCGAAGGCGGGUUCCUGGACAUUAACUGACGCUGAGGCACGAAGGCCAGGGGAGCGAAAGGGAUUAGAUACCCUGGUAGUC